GCUCGGGUGGUGGAAUGGUAGACACUAGGGACUUAAAAUCCCUUGGGCUUCGGCCCGUGCGGGUUCGAGUCCCGCCCCGAGUA
rnacentral:tRNA from 2 species